AAUUGACCGGACUGUAAACUAAUUGUCUAUUCUGAAAAAAGAAAGACAAAACAACACAAGCUCAAGAGCACACACACAUAGCCUACGUUACUUAAACGAGUUAUUAAAGUUAUUUUCAGAUCGUGUCUUGAAAGCAGGAAAUACCAAGGGGAAUCAGUUAGUUGGCUAGCUAUAUUGUGUUUUUAAUUGACGGUCCAUAACUGUAUCUACUAAAGCUAUCAUCUGAGGAGAUCAAGUUUAUUUCUGAAGAAUUGGGGCGUGCACGGAGCUGAGAUUGACAGAACAGAAGAGAGCGCUCCAAAGUCGGGAUUUCAAACUCAGUGAACUCAGUCCUACAAACUGAACGCUUAAGGGGCGGGAUUUCUAUUCCAAAACAAUGUCUACUCACCUUUGAUAUUCUAGAAUUAUGGGCUCACGUUAGGAUACAGUCUUCUCGAACAAUUCUGUUGAGUAUGUGAUAAAUGUUUUGGGAUACGUACUCUACUUGAUUUAAUGAUAGAAUUUUAAUUGGCUAUUUUUCUGUCUUCAGCAGAGAAUGGGCAUAGCCCACUAUUUUUGCCACUUGUACCCGCCCCCUUUCCAUGUUGCGCACUUUCCUUGCUCGUACCCCUCGCUCCGAGUUCGAUGCAAAGGAUUUUAGUUUGCCCUAUUUAGCUGCUCUUGAGACACCUGCAGAAUCUCUUUGCAUUUAUCAGAACCCAGCCUUUGGUCUUGAGGCACAUGUUUCUUUGCAACUGUUUUUCUUGGUGGUUUACACAGCUAAGGGUAGCCGGCAUUAGACUCUCAGUCCUCUCACCCUCCUUGUCUGAUCCUGAAAGUACCUAAUGACAUGGCCGCCAACAGAGCAGACAGCACACUCCCACAGCCCCGUCGCCAUGGAGCCGAGGAGCAGCACGACAGACUGUGUGGUGCUCGGUGAGCUGAGGCGGCGUGUCCAGGAGGAGUGCCUGGCGUGGCGCUGUGGACGAGGAGGAGGAGGAGGAGGCCCCAUCUUCAUCCUGCACUACUUCCUCCCGGGGGCCCUCAUCACCCUUAAGCGCCGGACAGGGGAGGUGAGCCUGAGACUUUGCCACCAGAACAAAGUUGGCUGUCCAGAAAGCGCUGCAAAGAGUUGGAGUCGUUGGAAUUCUUGCCUGUGCUUCUGUAAGUUUCUGCAAUAAUAUAAUCUGCUUUUUACCACCUGCAGCUGUCUUGGAUAAAUAUAAUGAAAGAUUCCUCCAGAUAAUGCUUCCGUAUUACACUAGUCAUAGGCUUUUCUUUACAAUUAACUUUAAAUGACAAGUUCUGUCAUCUUUCAAUUCUUUAUAGUUUUACUGACAUGAGUUGUGAUAUACGCAUUUAAAUUGUAUUUUUCCUUUACUGUGGAAACAAUAAAGAAUUACUGAUACACUGGUAAACUGAAUAG
rnacentral:lncRNA from 1 species